GUCUAUUUGGAGAUAUAAAAAGUUUAACCUGCCCACUGAUUAAUAAAUAUUAAAUGGCCGCGGUAUUUUGACCGUGCAAAGGUAGCAUAAUCGUUAGUUUUUUAAUUGGAAUCUUGUAUGAAUGGUUGGACAAAAGAAAAUCUGUCUUUAUAUUGAUUAUUGAACUUAACUUUUAAGUGAAAAGGCUUAAAUAAAUUAAAGGGACGAUAAGACCCUAUAAAGCUUAAUAUUAAAUGUUACUUAGUUAAAUUUUAAAUUAUAAAAAUUUUGUAACUAAAUUUAUUUUAUUGGGGCGAUAAAAGUAAAAUUACUACUAACUGCUUAAUUUCUUAUACACUUAUAAAUGUUUACAUUUUUAAAUGAUCCUAAAUAAAGAUUAAAAGUUUAAGUUACUUUAGGGAUAACAGCGUUAUUUUUCUUGAGAGUACUUAUCGAAAGAAAAGUUUGCGACCUCGAUGUUGAAUUAAAAUGUCUUUAUAAUUGUAGCAGUUAUAAAAGUAGGUCUGUUCGACCUUUAAAAUUUUACAUGAUUUGAGUUCAAACCGGCGUGAG
rnacentral:rRNA from 1 species